rnacentral:rRNA from 1 species
UCAUCUUCGGGGGUAGAGCACUGUUUCGGCUAGGGGGUCAUCCCGACUUACCAACCCGAUGCAAACUACGAAUACCGAAGAAUGUUAUCACGGGAGACACACGGCGGGGGCUAACGUCCGUCGUGAAGAGGGAAACAACCCAGACCGCCAGCUAAGGUCCCAAAGUCAUGGUUAAGUGGGAAACGAUGUGGGAAGGCACAGACAGCCAGGAUGUUGGCUUAGAAGCAGCCAUCAUUUAAAGAAAGCGUAAUAGCUCACUGGUCGAGUCGGCCUGCGCGGAAGAUGUAACGGGGCUAAACCAUGCACCGAAGCUGCGGCAGCGACACUAUGUGUUGUUGGGUAGGGGAGCGUUCUGUAAGCCUGCGAAGGUGUGCUGUGAGGCAUGCUGGAGGUAUCAGAAGUGCGAAUGCUGACAUAAGUAACGAUAAAGCGGGUGAAAAGCCCGCUCGCCGGAAGACCAAGGGUUCCUGUCCAACGUUAAUCGGGGCAGGGUGAGUCGACCCCUAAG